CCCAGAGUUCCAAGUAGCAUGCACAGUGGCCAGAGCCCACGGGCUGAGUUAGGGCCCAUCUACCCCAAGCCAUGGAGACUUUCCCAGCAGGAUGGGCAGAGGAGAAUAAUCUGGUCAUCCGGACUUUUGCCCUGCCACAGGCCAAGAUGUUAUCUGUGAUGUCAUCUGUGAUGUCACCAGUCCUCUUCAAAAACAAAGGAUGAACAGCAGCAAGGCAAGAAGGACCCCCCCCCCCCCCCAAUUCACUUGUUCUAUCCAUGAUGCUUCUCCACUACUGCCUCCACCUUAGUGUUCCUUUCACCACUGUCUCCCGGUAUACCUUCACAAAGAAAUCACCUCCUACUCUCCCACUGUGUCUUUGGCUGCUCCAUCUGUUUAUAGCUCCCACUUUCUGCAGUCUGGGGUUUUGAGGAGUAAAUGAAGAUUUGCAAGGUAGCUCACUAUGGACUAAAUCUUAUGGUCUACUGAUCUUCAGAACAAGUUAUUCAGUUCCCUCCUGCAGUUUUCAGAUAAGGAAACUGAGGUUGAUUACUUUGCUGAGGAACAAACCAGAUCAUCGUCUGAAAACAGGACCUUGCACUCUGCCCACCAACUCACUGAGCUGCCUUUAAGGAAAAGGCAAACCAGCAAUUAGUUUUCAGGAAUUUUAAGAAAGAUUUCGCCCAAAAUUUGGAUGAAAUUUGAAAGUACCUGAAAAGGAAGAAAAGGAAGGAAAAAAGAAGGGAGGAAGGAAGAAGCAUUAGUAGGACAAGGAAAAAGAUGCUCAGUUGGCAGGGAGAAAUUGCUACAAGCCUUGGCUCCAUGGAAACUGUAGUAACAGAAGCAGAAGAAGCAGGACUGGGCUAUCCUGUCAAAGAAGCCUUCCAGAAUCCCAAACAUGUCCUUCAGCCACAGCAUCCCCUGGACCAACAGCAGUUCCACUUAGUUUGGAUUCCAUAUAUUAUGCCCCAUUCAAGAUACCAGAUCAUCAGGAAACUUACCAUCAGGACGACUCCAUUUCAUCCAUUCGACACCUGAAUUCCCUCUGCUUAUUCUCCCAAACUGAAUGCCAAGUUACCAAGAUACAGGUAAAUUCUCCCAAAGACCAUCUCUACCUGAACCUCCUGAGUCAGAAGAACUGUGUCAUGGCUGUCACCGACUCCUUGGGUAAUCUGUGACAAAUUGUUUCACUUCUAUAUACCUGUCUUCUCUGCAAAAUAAGGAUCAACUAAAAAAAUGGAUAUAAAGUGUUCUGUCAACAUUAA